AGCGAACGCUGGCGGCAGGCUUAACACAUGCAAGUCGAGCGGGCCCUUCGGGGUCAGCGGCAGACGGGUGAGUAACACGUGGGAACGUACCCUUUGGUUCGGAAUAACGCUGGGAAACUAGCGCUAAUACCGGAUACGCCCUUUUGGGGAAAGGCUUGCUGCCGAAGGAUCGGCCCGCGUCUGAUUAGCUAGUUGGUGGGGUAAUGGCCUACCGAGGCGACGAUCAGUAGCUGGUCUGAGAGGAUGAUCAGCCACACUGGGACUGAGACACGGCCCAGACUCCUACGGGAGGCAGCAGUGGGGAAUAUUGGACAAUGGGCGCAAGCCUGAUCCAGCCAUGCCGCGUGAGUGAUGAAGGCCUUAGGGUUGUAAAGCUCUUUUGUCCGGGACGAUAAUGACGGUACCGGAAGAAUAAGCCCCGGCUAACUUCGUG
rnacentral:rRNA from 1 species